rnacentral:rRNA from 1 species
UGGGGGAUAUUGCACAAUGGGCGAAAGCCUGAUGCAGCGACGCCGCGUGGGGGAUGAAGGCUUUCGGGUUGUAAACCUCUUUCGCUAUCGAACAAGGCCCGCUUAGGGUGGGUUGAGGGUAGGUGGAGAAGAAGCGCCGGCUAACUACGUGCCAGCAGCCGCGGUAAUACGUAGGGCGCGAGCGUUGUCCGGAAUUAUUGGGCGUAAAGGGCUUGUAGGCGGCUUGUUGCGCCUGCUGUGAAAACGCGGGGCUUAACUUCGCGCGUGCAGUGGGUACGGGCAGGCUUGAGUGUGGUAGGGGUGACUGGAGUUCCAGGUGUAGCGGUGGAAUGCGCAGAUAUCUGGAGGAACACCGAUGGCGAAGGCAGGUCACUGGGCCAUUACUGACGCUGAGGAGCGAAAGCAUGGGUAGCGAACAGG